rnacentral:rRNA from 1 species
GAGGCAGCAGUGGGGAAUCCUACGGGGAGGCAGCAGUGGGGAAUAUUGGACAAUGGGCGCAAGCCUGAUCCAGCAAUGCCGCGUGAGUGAUGAAGGCCUUAGGGUUGUAAAGCUCUUUUACCCGGGAUGAUAAUGACAGUACCGGGAGAAUAAGCUCCGGCUAACUCCGUGCCAGCAGCCGCGGUAAUACGGAGGGAGCUAGCGUUGUUCGGAAUUACUGGGCGUAAAGCGCACGUAGGCGGCGAUCUAAGUCAGAGGUGAAAGCCCGGGGCUCAACCCCGGAAUAGCCUUUGAGACUGGAUUGCUUGAAUCCAGGAGAGGUGAGUGGAAUUCCGAGUGUAGAGGUGAAAUUCGUAGAUAUUCGGAAGAACACCAGUGGCGAAGGCGGCUCACUGGACUGGUAUUGACGCUGAGGUGCGAAAGCGUGGGGAGCAAACAGGAUUAGAUC